rnacentral:rRNA from 1 species
CAUGACUGGGGUGAAGUCGUAACAAGGUCUUCGUAGGUGAACCUGCAGAAGGAUCA